rnacentral:rRNA from 1 species
ACGUGAUCUGAGUUCAGACCGGAGUAAUCCAGGUCAGUUUCUAUCUAUAAGGAGCUUUUCCUAGUACGAAAGGAUCGGAAAAGCAUGGCCAAUACCCAAUGCAAGCCAUCACUACUAAUUUAUGCUUUAAACUUAAUUAACAAUUAGCCCGAAACUUUCCUCUAGAAAAGAGAA